UUUUGAUUAACUGUGCUGGCUUAUUGUUUUAUUUUGUUUUGCCUUUUCACAGUUGCUUCUCUGAGUAUUUAUAGUUUGGCGUAGGGCUAACACUAUUAAUAACUAUUUGUAAAAUAAUUUUGAGAGAUGUUUUAUACCCAGUUUUAAGGCCAUGGCUAAAGGCUAGUUAGCUCUUGUUUGAGAAGGCUGAAUCCAUACCCUAGCCAUUUCUUUCCUGGAGCUCCCAUGUGCUUAGGCUGCUAUGCACCUGCCCUAAUUACCCCAGGGCAAAAUUCCAAACAACUAGGGCAGUUCUUCUGCUCUGGAGCCUGAGUCCCAGGAAUUAUUCAAAUUAGCCGAUCCACAGGAGGCCCUCUUAGGCUGCCUCUCACAGCUCCAGCUUGCUGUCAUGCUUCCCCUGUCUAACUUCCUGUGUGGCCCUGCCUGGCAGCCUUCUCUCCUUAGGAGCUCCUACUUCACCUGAAGAUGAUGAGGAUGAAGAUGAUCCACUUCCACUGAAUAAAUAGUAAAUACAGGAGCUGAGUGUGGUGGCACAUGCCUGUAGUCCCAGCUACUCAGGAGGCAGAGAUAGAAGGAUUGCUUGAGGCCAGAAGUUCGAGUCCAGCCUGAGUAAGAUAGUAAGAACUUUCUCUCUUAAAAAAAAAAGUAUUUAAAGUAUAUUUUUUAUUCUUUAUAAUUCUCUUAAUGUUUUCUCUAGCUUACUUUAUUGUAGAAAUACAGCAUAUAAUAUAUAUGACAUGCAAAAUAUGUGUUAAUUGACUGUAUUAUCAGCAAGGCUUCCUGUCAACAAUUGGAUAAUAGUUAAGCUUUUGAGAAGUCAAAAGUUAAACACAGAUUUUUGAUUGUGUGUGUGCGGGAUUGGCAUCCCUAAUCCUCACAUCGUUCAAGCAUCAAACAAUAUUUUAAAUCAUUUCUAGAGUACUUA
rnacentral:lncRNA from 1 species